CCUACGGGAGGCUGCAGUGAGGAAUAUUGGUCAAUGGACGAGAGUCUGAACCAGCAAAGUAGCGUGAAGGAUGACUGCCCUAUGGGUUGUAAACUUCUUUUAUAUGGGAAUAAAACGUUCCACGUGUGGGAUUUUGUAUGUACCAUAUGAAUAAAGAUCGGCUAACUCCGUGCCAGCAGCCGCGGUAAUACGGAGGAUGCGAGCGUUGUCCGGAUUUAUUGGGUUUAAAGGGAGCGUAGGUGGAUUGUUAAGUCAGUUGUGAAAGUUUGCGGCUCAACCGUAAAAGUGCAGUUGAAACUGGCAGUCUUGAGUACAGUAGAGGUGGGCGGAAUUCGUGGUGUAGCGGUGAAAUGCUUAGAUAUCACGAAGAACUCCGAUUGCGAAGGCAGUUCACUGGACUGCAACUGACACUGAGGCUCGAAAGUGUGGGUAUCAAACAGGAUUAGAUACCCUUGUAGUC
rnacentral:rRNA from 1 species